UACGUAGGGUGCAAGCGUUGUCCGGAAUUAUUGGGCGUAAAGAGCUCGUAGGCGGUCUGUCGCGUCUGCUGUGAAAACUCAGGGCUUAACCCUGAGCUUGCAGUGGGUACGGGCAGACUAGAGUGCGGGUAGGGAGACUGGAAUUCCGUGGGUGAUAGCGGUGAAUGCGCAGAUAUCAGGAGGAACACCGGUGGCGAAGGCGGGUCUCUGGGCCGUAACUGACGCUGGAGGAGCGAAAGCUGGGGAGCGAACAGG
rnacentral:rRNA from 1 species